AUUGAACGCUGGCGGCAGGCCUAACACAUGCAAGUCGAGCGGAAGAAGGGAGCUUGCUCCUGGAUUCAGCGGCGGACGGGUGAGUAAUGCCUAGGAAUCUGCCUGGUAGUGGGGGAUAACGUCAGGAAACGGGCGCUAAUACCGCAUACGUCCAGCGGGAGAAAGCGGGGGAUCUUCGGCCCUCACGCUAUCAGAUGAGCCUAGGUCGGAUUAGCUAGUUGGUGGGGUAAGGGUCUACCCAGGCGACGAUCCGUAACUGGUCUGAGAGGAUGAUCAGUCACACUGGAACUGAGACACGGUCCAGACUCCUACGGGAGGCAGCAGUGGGGAAUAUUGGACAAUGGGCGAAAGCCUGAUCCAGCCAUGCCGCGUGUGUGAAGAAGGUCUUCGGAUUGUAAAGCACUUUAAGUGGGGAGGAAGGGAAGUAAGUUAAUACCUUGCUGUUUUGACGUUACCAGCAGAAUAAGCACCGGCUAACUUCGUG
rnacentral:rRNA from 1 species